GACAGGCUCUUAUCAGUCUGAGGGUGUCUGAGGUCUGACAGUCUGAGGGUGUCUGAGGUCUGACAGGUUCUUAUCAGUCUGAGGGUGUCUGAGGUCUGACAGUCUGAGGGUGUCUGAGGUCUGACAGGUUCUUAUCAGUCUGAGGGUGUCU